rnacentral:lncRNA from 1 species
AGUGGCGGAUACAUCUCCACCAUCUAGAUCAAAAAUUCCUAACCAAGAUCAAGGGUCUAUAGUGAUCUUAAGCCUAAAUCCGAUUUUAAGUCAGAAAAUGUCUAUAUGUCAAAAAUUAAUGCCUUUUUGGCAAAAUUAACACCACCAAUGUGUCCAAAAUACAUUUUUAUCCAAAGAUUAAUUAUUCACAAGUCCAAAUCUAAGCUCUAAAUUAUUAAAACUAAUUAA